CCCUACUUUCGUCUUAUGUAACCAUAUCAAACGUAUCAUAUACUAAUUUGAGUGUCUCGGAUUUACAUUUACUAUAUUACUAUGAGACUAGGCUGGACACAAUACCAGCUCCCUCUAGCACACUGCUCUCUCUCUCUGUCACCAGUCCUAAGACUAUGAGACUAGGCUGGACACAAUACCAGCUCCCUCUAGCACACUGCUCUCUCUCUGUCACCAGUCCUAAUCAGGACAAAUAAAGAGUCAUGUUAUUCCUCUGGCUCCGUUUCAAACACAAAGUGGUGUGUCGUUCCAGACUGCUGCUUGCACUAGUGUCCAGUAGGUGGCACCAGAGUGUGCUUUAUAUUCUUCCCACAGAUAAUGUCAUAGAUUACCUUUUUUUUUAUUUUUUAUAAAGAACAACUUUAUAAACAAAUGUCUCCGCUAAGCAGAACUCUAACCCCAACCAAAUAAGAUGUAAUCCGGGUGUCCUACUGAAUAAAACAAGCACGGUAUUCUUAUCUAUGCCUUUUUGAUGAGCAACAGGGAAAGAGACACUUGGGUAAAGAUUUUACAGGUGCAAUUAGGGUUAAGUGCCUUGCUCAAGGGCACAUCGACAGAUUUGGCUCUGGGAAUUCGAACCAGCGACCUUUUCGGUUACUGGCCCAACGUUCCUAUCUGCUAGGAUACCUGCUGCCCCAUAUAAAGCCAUGCAACCGACAGGUCAGAUUCAAUCCGAUUGCACUGUCAUGCGGUAAACACUGCAUAUGUCGGCUCAAUCGGAUAAUGACUUUUAAAUGUUAAGAGCGCUAUAAAGCGGAUCUACCACUGAUCAGAUUGAAUCCAGGCCUGAGGUGAGAGAAACCAGUGAGGAGACAAUGACAUGACAGCAAGUAUUUAUCAGGGAGGUCUUCAGCAGCUUAUUGUAGUUGUCUUCAGCAAUGCCCUAUCUGAGAAAACCUUAUGUCCUGGUUCUUUGAAACUCAAAGCAAUGAUUUCUUAAAGCAACUGAAAAACUCAGAUGGAAAAUGUAACUUUGAGUUACACACUAAUUUCUUUGUCCCAUACUUCCGUUAGAUGAAAUGAACCCUGCUGUUGUAGUGGAGAGGGAAUGACGGGAUGUGAAUUGUGAUCAGAAUGAGAAACAUGGGGUCGUGAUACACCCAUGAGACCAGCCAGAUAUUUACCUCCCUCAGACCAAAACACUGGAAGGGAUGAAUGGAUCAUUAUUGCUGGUCAAUCUGCCUUCAUCCAGAACAUCUAAUCUAUUGCUGUCUUCUUGACUUUGUCCUGUUUAAGUCCUUGUCUAAUGCAGUCAGGUAUAGAUCAACUCACUGUAGCCUGGGAGCCAGUCAGGUAUAGAUCAACUCACUGUAGCCUGGGAGCCAGUCAGGUAUAGAUCAACUCACUGUAGCCUGAGAGCCAGUCAGGUAUAGAUCAACUCACUAUAGCCUGGGAGCCAGUCUGUUCCUGCUCUCCUGACAACUCCUAAUGGAAUUGUCAUACCCAAACAUUUUCAUGUUCAGCCAAUGACAAUGAAGUAGCCAAAAGCACAAACAGAUCUGGGACCAGGCUAAACUCAACCAGGCUACCCUGUCAACAUUCCCAUAACCCAUAGACAGCAAUACAUACAUUUCUGUACAGUAUUUUCCUGAACAUAUAAAAUAUUGCUUUCCAUGCUGUAUUCUCACCUAUGCAUACACGCAUUUCUAAAAAUAAUGAUUGUGCUGUACAGUAGCAACUAAAGCAAUCAAUCUUUGUUCCAAGGACUUAAGAGCGGACCCCAUUCAGGGAGAAAACAUGAAAAGAAACAUUAUAUUGUCACACACCAGUUGCAUCUAGCCUCUAAAUCCAGACUGGAUCACUGUUGUUUCACUUCAUGUGAAUUCAGACUGGAUCACUGUUGUUUCACUUCAUGUGAAUUCAGACUGGAUCACUGUUGUUUCACUUUGUGUGAAUUCAGACUGGAUCACUGUUGUUUCACUUCGUGUGAAUUCAGACUGGAUCACUGUUGUUUCACUUUGUGUGAAUUCAGACUGGAUCACUGUUGUUUCACUUCGUGUGAAUUCAGACUGGAUCACUGUUGUUUCACUUUGUGUGAAUUCAGACUGGAUCACUGUUGUUUCACUUUGUGUGAAUUCAGACUGGAUCACUGUUGUUUCACUUCAUGUGAAUUCAGACUGGAUCUCCAGGCUAGGCUAAUUCUUAUGCUGUUUAUUCGUCUUUGCCAAAUGCUGCCAUGCUUGUCUCUGGACUAACUAAAAAGAGCUUUUCUGCUUCCUCCAUUUUGUUUUCACAACCAAGCUGCAUGAUGACAACAAUCAAAGAAAACUUUUUGACAAAGCAAACCAAUAUUUCCCUCAGGUUAAAUUGUCAAUGGGAGUAGUUGUUUUAAUUCUGUAGAUUUUCCUACUGUAGUUGAGCACUUUUACUUCUUGACCAAAUAGCUGUGAUACGAGCGGCUUACAGCGUGCCCUACAGGUAGUUUGCCCUACAGGUAGUUUGCCCUACAGGUAGUUUGCCCUACAGGUAGUUUGCCCUACAGGUAGUUUGCCCUACAGGUUGUUUGCCCUACAGGUUGUUUGUGCUACAGGUAGUUUGCCCUACAGGUGACAUGCUGUGACACUGGCACAAAACAGUUAUCUGUAUAAAUCAACAAUGAUGACAUUUUACUUUAUAAUGAUGUCCAGUUGAACCAGUCUGUGAUGUGGUCAGGCUUCUCAGUGAUGUGUACGGAACAUUGAACACCAAACCACCUGUG